UACGUAGGGUGCAAGCGUUGUCCGGAAUUAUUGGGCGUAAAGGGCUCGUAGGCGGUCCAUCACGUCGGGAGUGAAAAGCUGGGGCUUAACCCCAGUCCUGCUUCCGAUACUGGUGGACUAGAGGUAGGUAGGGGAGAACGGAAUUCCUGGUGUAGCGGUGAAAUGCGCAGAUAUCAGGAGGAACACCGGUGGCGAAGGCGGUUCUCUGGGCCUUACCUGACGCUGAGGAGCGAAAGCAUGGGGAGCAAACAGG
rnacentral:rRNA from 1 species